rnacentral:rRNA from 1 species
UACGUAGGUGGCAAGCGUUAUCCGGAAUGACUGGGCGUAAAGGGUGCGUAGGUGGUUUGGCAAGUUAGUAGCGUAACUCCGGAGCUCAACUUCGGAACUACUACUAAAACUGUCGGACUUGAGUGCAGGAGGGGCAACUGGAAUUCCUAGUGUAGCGGUGGAAUGCGUAGAUAUUAGGAGGAACACCAGUGGCGAAGGCGAGUUGCUGGACUGUAACUGACACUGAGGCACGAAAGCGUGGGGAGCAAACAGG